CCCAGGCCUAACACAUGCAAGUCGAGGGGCAGCAUAGUAGGUAGCAAUACUUAUUGAUGGCGACCGGCGCACGGGUGAGUAACGCGUAUGCAACUUACCUAUCAGAGGGGGAUAGCCCGGCGAAAGUCGGAUUAAUACUCCAUAAAACAGGGGUCCCGCAUGGGACUAUUUGUUAAAGAUUCAUCGCUGAUAGAUAGGCAUGCGUUCCAUUAGGCAGUUGGCGGGGUAACGGCCCACCAAACCGACGAUGGAUAGGGGUUCUGAGAGGAAGGUCCCCCACAUUGGUACUGAGACACGGACCAAACUCCUACGGGAGGCAGCAGUGAGGAAUAUUGGUCAAUGGCCGAGAGGCUGAACCAGCCAAGUCGCGUGAAGGAUGAAGGAUCUAUGGUUUGUAAACUUCUUUUAUAGGGGAAUAAAGUGUGGGACGUGUUCCAUUUUGUAUGUACCCUAUGAAUAAGCAUCGGCUAACUCCGUGCCAGCAGCCGCGGUAAUACGGAGGAUGCGAGCGUUAUCCGGAUUUAUUGGGUUUAAAGGGUGCGUAGGUGGUAAUUUAAGUCAGCGGUGAAAGUUUGUGGCUCAACCAUAAAAUUGCCGUUGAAACUGGGUUACUUGAGUGUGUUUG
rnacentral:rRNA from 1 species